UACAGAGGGGGCAAGCGUUAUUCGGAAUUAUUGGGCGUAAAGGGCGCGUAGGCGGCUUGGCAAGUGGAAGGUGAAAUCCCUCGGCUUAACCGAGGAACUGCCCUCCAAACUGCUUUGCUUGAGGCCGGGAGAGGUGAGUGGAAUUCCCAGUGUAGCGGUGAAAUGCGUAGAUAUUGGGAGGAACACCAGUGGCGAAGGCGGCUCACUGGCCCGUAACUGACGCUGAGGUGCGAAAGCGUGGGGAGCAAACAGG
rnacentral:rRNA from 1 species